rnacentral:hammerhead_ribozyme from 1 species
ACCCGGUUGAAGAGUCCCAAAUAGGACGAAAUGCGGCGCAUUGUCCUGGAU